GCCAGUCAGAAUGGGACCAGGUGUAUGAGUAGCCUCUUGACUUCCAACCUGGGGAAGAUAUAGACACCCAUGCAAAAAGAGGAGACAGAUAAACAGAGAGAGAGAGAGUGUUAGUUCAUCCAACACCAGGCAGGUCUAAGUGGUCCACGACACAGGUAAGUAGAGCAGUUGAAGACAUAAUCAGUGAAUUGCAGAGGUGGAAAAGUCCUCCAACAUACUCUAGUUCAACCUGGAUCUCAACAUGGAUUCCCUCUAUGAUGUGCAUGACAAGUAGUCACCCACCUUCCACCUGAAGUAAAUGGAUGGAGAAUUUACUUCCUCCACAGUAACCCCAUCAAUGGAGAGCACCUCAAACUCAGGAUACCCAAGACGGAAGCUCCUGAAAAGAAUUCACACAUCUUUCUGGAAUGGAGGGAAGGACCAAGAAGAUAACCUUAAACUGUCAUCUAAAAUGAGACCUUUAUUUGCAAAGUUAUGUUUGCUUAUACUGUCCUGAUAGUCUGAAUCAUUGGCUCUGUUCUCAAUAAAGUACAGAAGAUGGAUAGCUUGAGCACUUUGCUUCAGCUCUUAUAAAUCUAAUAAAUGGACCCAUCCAUAUCAUCUCUCUUGGAAUCCUUCACAUUGCCCUGGUUGGUUUUUGUUGCAGAUAAGAAAAGGGAAU